GGAGACACAGGGCCGCUCAGAGGCCGCCGCGAUGCUCCCCUCCUUGCAGGAGUCGCUGGAUGGAGAUGAAAAGGAACUAGAGAGCAGCGAAGAGGGAGGCUCAGCCGAGGAGCGGAGACUCGAGCCGCCGUCCAGCAGCCACUACUGUCUUUACAGCUACCGCGGAAGCAGAUUGGCACAGCAACGAGGGGACAGUGAUGACGGAAGCCCAAGUGGCACAAAUGCAGAAACUCCCCCUGGUGAUGAUUUCAGCCUCUCCUUGGCAGAUACUAAUCUACCAUCCGAAGUGGAGCCAGAGCUGCGCAGUUUCAUUGCUAAGCGUCUUUCAAAAGGUGCAGUCUUUGAAGGGCUGGGUAAUGUUGCAUCUGUGGAGCUAAAAAUUCCAGGUUACCGAGUUGGUUGUUAUUACUGCCUUUUCCAAAAUGAAAAACUGCUUCCUGAAACAGUAACAACAGACUCUGAACGUAACCCUUCAGAAUAUGUGGUCUGUUUUUUAGGAGGGUCUGAAAAAGGACUUGAGCUAUAUCCUUUCUUUGGUUUUUGAGAACAUCAGGAAGGAAAACAUGGGAAGGCAGGUGGAAGAAUAUUACUACCAACCUCCAAAAAGCUUUUCUACUCCUCGUGUAUUUAGUUGAAUUUCAUACCUUCAUGUGGCCAUUUUGCCUUGGCUUGUUUGCAUUUGUAGCUCACAUUAUUUGAGAGAUUUUAUAU
rnacentral:sRNA from 1 species